CACAAUUCUAUUAGCCAAAUUUUCUACACUCAUCUUGUAUGGUGAAUUAGUAAUUAUGAGAUUGAAUUUAUUUAUCAUAUGGCUUUUAAAAAUAUAUUUUAGUCUUUUCUGAUGGCAGGGUGGUCAGAUCUAUGGGUUGUCAAAGGCCAGGUAAUCUUCAAAAUGUCAAGGGCUGCCAACCUCGUAACACAGUGUUAUUUUUUAUUAUCUGGUCUUUUCUCACCAGCUCACAUACUCAUCUCAUCCCUGACUCUUAUCCAUUACUGCUGAAAAUCCAGAGAUUACUGGUACAAAAGAUGCUGCCUCUGUAACCACGGGCUUAUUCAUGGGCUGGGGAGACUGGGGUGGAGGGUGUGGGUUGAGGUGCAUAAAUUGGAAAACCAGAAAGAAGUCCAGGGGUGAAGAAAUCAGCCAGAAAAAUACCGGUGGAAGAAUCAGAGCCGGGUCAAAUAUGAAACCGUGCCAUAAUUUCUUAGAGCAGAAUUUUGCCCCAAAUUCCCAAGGCUGCCGGUAUUUUCAUGUUAAUCCAACUUGCUUCCAGUUAUUAUUUUUAAAACUACACAAAUAUAACGGAAAGCCAGCUAACUUAAAGGACUGAAAUGCAUCUUUAGAUUCUUUUUGGGAUCUUUUUUCCCUCAAGAGACCCCAGUAUCUUCUUGAUCUGCUAUUCUCUGUGAGUAUGUCUCUCACUUACUCUGUCAUCUCUUCUCCCAAGAGUGGUCAUUUUCUCUGAGCAGGGACUGUGAAUGCUUUUAACAGCAGCUCCAACAUGAAGUGACGGAGGCUGUAGGCUCAGAAGGAGUGGGCCAGGACCCAAGGUGUGGGAGGCUGGUGAAAAAUGUGUUCACGCAGCCCGGGUAGGCCUCCCCCGUUUUGCUGUUGCUCUGCAUACCCCUACCCAGCCCUGACCUGGGGGGAACCUAACACCCAUCCUUUCAUCAUUUUCUCUGCAUCCUACUUCUAAGUUCCUAGACUACCAACAUCUGAGAGAUAAACAAGGCUUUCACUCAGUGCUGAACAGGGAGGAAAGAGUGGGUGUUUCUCAGCCAACUGCAGCUCACACUCCCCUCUUAAUAAACAUAAAGACCUCAUGCCUCAUCCUUACCCACAUUCUGACUCCUGCUGUAGAAGGAAGGACAUCUUCCGGGACAGGACCACUGCCAAGACUGAGCCUUCCUCUCUGUGAUUCAGAUCAUAGAAGCCAGGUCUCCACCUGAAUUCUGAUUUCAUCCAUCCUUUGCACCUCCAUCCUGCAGCCAAUCCAGUGAAAAAUGACUGUACUUGGGAGUGUUCAUGGCUACCCACCACUGGCAAGCCCUGGGUGCUUCAGAAUCUCUGAUUCCCUUCACCCACUGAUGCUUCUGUAAAAAAAAAAAGUCCCUUCAUUAACUUCUGUUCAACACCCCAACAGAGGGUGCCUUCUACCCCCACCAGGACCCAACAGAGACCCUUUAACAUCCCCAGAUCAAAGGAAAGGCAAAAACAGCCCAAAACAAGACCUGAAGAGGAUGAAGGUCAUUUAAUUUCAUAGGGAAUUUGGACCCACUUUUUAUAAACUGGAAUCAAAUACGUUGUCCAAAGGUGAGAAGAGGGCCUGGAUAUACUUCGAGUUGCCCGAGCUGUGCGUUUGUUACAAUCUAGGGAGACUUUGAAUCCCAUAAGCUGAAACAGCAAACCUCACUGCAGCAUUUAAAUGUUGGUAGGUUAAAUUUGGAAUAUGAAUAAACAUUUACCCUUGCUAUGUACUGCAUAAUUUCACAUCUGUAAUGAACUUCCUGUGCUAUACUACACACCACUUCUAAACUCAAUC